GAUGAACGCUAGCGGCAGGCUUAACACAUGCAAGUCGAGGGGUAGAGGCCUUCGGGCCUUGAGACCGGCGCACGGGUGCGUAACGCGUAUGCAAUCUGCCUUGUACUGGGGGAUAGCCCAGAGAAAUUUGGAUUAAUACCCCACAGUAUUUUCGUUUGGCAUCAACUGAUUAUUAAAGUUUUUCGGUACAAGAUGAGCAUGCGUCCCAUUAGCUAGUUGGUAUGGUAACGGCAUACCAAGGCUACGAUGGGUAGGGGUCCUGAGAGGGAGAUCCCCGACCCUGGUACGGAGGCACGGACCAGACUCCUACGGGGGGCAGCAGUGAGGAAUAUUGGUCAAUGGUCGCAAGACUGAACCAGCCAUGCCGCGUACAGGAUGGAGCAUCUAUGGUGUGUAAACUGCUUUUGUACGGGAAGAAACACUCCCUCGUGAGGGAGCUUGACGGUACCGUAAGAAUAAGGAUCGGCUAACUCCGUGCCAGCAGCCGCCGUAAAAC
rnacentral:rRNA from 1 species